rnacentral:rRNA from 1 species
UACGUAGGGUCCGAGCGUUGUCCGGAAUUAUUGGGCGUAAAGGGCUCGUAGGCGGUCUGUCGCGUCUGCUGUGAAAACUGGGGGCUCAACCCCCAGCCUGCAGUGGGUACGGGCAGACUAGAGUGCGGUAGGGGAGAUUGGAACUCCUGGUGUAGCGGUGGAAUGCGCAGAUAUCUGGAGGAAUACCGGUGGCGAAGGCGGCAUCCUGGACCGACAUUGACGCUGAGGAGCGAAAGCUAGGGGAGCAAACAGG